GAGGUAAAUUGUCUUAUCGCUCCGGAACGGACUAACGAACCGGGGAGGAAAGUCCGGACAGCACAGAGUACCAUACUUCCUAACGGGAAGGCAGGUGGCGGAAGACGCUCUGCGUUGACGGCCAUUUGACAGAAAGUGCCACAGAAAACGUACCGCCGGAGCCGCGUUUAGUUUCUAAACGUACUCCGGUAAGGGUGAAAAGGUGGGGUAAGAGCCCACCGCCCGGCUGGUGACAGACGGGGCAGGGUAAACCUUAUGGGCUGAAAGAUCAAAUAGGCAUCAGAAUGGGGGCGACUCGUUCCCGUAAUUUCGAAUCCGUUCGGAAUGAUGCUGAUGCGGGUAGAUCGAUAGAGUUUCGAAGUGAUUCGGAAUCGAGAUAAAUGAUAAGAAUCUGAAAGGGUUGUUUCGACAAUCGGAUCGGAGACAGAAUCCGGCUUAUAGAUUUACUUCGCGA
rnacentral:RNase_P_RNA from 1 species